rnacentral:rRNA from 1 species
AUGGCGCAAGAGGCGGAGGAGUUCGCCGAGGAGGACAGGAAGGUGAGGGACAAGGUGGACGCGCGAAACAAGCUGGAGGCAUACGUUUACAGUGCCCGGACGACAGCCGACAGCGAGCUGGGGGCCAAGAUGGACGGCGCCGACAGGGAGAGGGUCAGGGAGGCGGCCAGGGAGGCCGGCGAGUGGCUCGAGGCCAACCCGGACGCUGACCAGGACGGCUACGCGAAGAAGCUCAAGGAGCUGGAGGAUGUCUGCAGCCCAGCCUUCGCCGCCGCUUACGGGAACACUGGCGGUGGCCAUGACGACGCCGCCGAGGAGGACGAUGAACACGACGAGCUCUAG